AUGGCAGAGCACUCUGAGAAUGCGGCAGAGAACAUGAUGAGCGGCAUCAUGGACGCCAUUGCCGACAAGAUCCCCAAGCAAAAGUCUGUCAGGUUCGACGAUGAGGGCUCCAUCUCCGGCCAAGCCAAGAAGCUCUUUGGCGGCCACAAGUCUGUUCACCACGUCCUCGGCGGUGGAAAAUCCGCUGAUGUGCUACUGUGGAGGAACAAGAAGAUCUCAUCCAGCGUUCUUGCUGUUGCAACAGCUGCCUGGGUCUUCUUCGAGUGGCUCGACUACCAUUUCUUGACCAUCGUAUCAUUUGUGCUUGUUCUUGGCAUGGUUGUCCAGUUCGGAUGGUCCAGCUUCGCAGGCAUGCUCAAUGGGUCUCCCUCUAACGUGCCCCGUUUGGAGUUACCGGAAGAGCUGUUUGCAAACAUCGGCGUAGCUGUCGGCGCCCAGGUGAACAAAUUCUUGGGAAGCCUUCAGGAUGUGUCUUGUGGAAGAGACCUGAAGCAGUUCCUCAUGGUGGUCGCCGGGUUCAUUGUCACCGCUUUCAUCGGGAGCUGGUUCAGUCUCAUCACCGUCAUCUACAUCGGGUUUGUGUGUGCACACACUCUACCAGUGUUCUAUGAGAGGUAUCAUGAUCAAGUCGAUGAGGUGCUGUACAACAUGCUUGGGUUGAUUGGGAGUCAGUACCAGAAGCUUGACAAGGGCGUCUUGAGCAAGAUGCCUAAAGGGAACCUCAAGUUCAGGAAGAGCCAGUAG
rnacentral:rRNA from 1 species